AAGAUUAAUAGUAGCAGAAAAGCUAGCAAUGUUUUUGCCGCUGCUUGAAAACUGCUGGAGGAGUAAUACUGGAAUGCAUCAUUGUUGGAUAAUGACCACAGGGCGACUGGGCAGAGCUCUUUUCCCCCAGUGCUGCAACAGAGUGCCAGACGACACCAUGUCCAAGUCCCGACAUGAGGCUUGAACUCAGUACCUUCUGACUCAGAGCCAGGCUGACACACAUAAUGCCACACUGACCUGCAAGGAUUUCACACUGAGAGGCAAUCUCAGAAACAGUGGCGUGCGACUACCGAGAAGCUGAGGCAAGGUGUCAGAGAUGCAUUCGGCCUACUCAUUGUGUAAUGGAGGAUUGGGCACUGAACACGGCCACGGAUCUUUAUCUGCCCCGAAAUGACGGCUCUCACUCACACGCGCUGAUCCUCUGGAUGUCUAAAUACAGUUAAGCUUUUGAGCAUUGCACACAAUUAAGUACUUCUACAUUCAAUUAUCAUCAUUCCUCUACACGUUUCCAUUGUUGGUCAGUACAUGGUGGGAUAAAAAACAUGGGAUUAACAGCACUUUGUGAAAACCUGUCACACAGCACUUUGUGAAGAACUGUCAUACAGUCACUAC